rnacentral:rRNA from 1 species
AUACGUAGGGGGCGAGCGUUGUCCGGAAUGAUUGGGCGUAAAGGGCGCGUAGGCGGCCCGGUAAGUCUGGAGUGAAAGUCCUGUUUUUAAGAUGGGAAUUGCUUUGGAUACUGUCGGGCUUGAGUGCAGGAGAGGUAAGUGGAAUUCCCAGUGUAGCGGUGAAAUGCGUAGAGAUUGGGAGGAACACCAGUGGCGAAGGCGACUUACUGGACUGUAACAGACGCUGAGGCGCGAAAGUGCGGGGAGCAAACAGGAUUAUAUACCCUGGUAGUCCACACUCUAAACGAUGAAUGCUAGGUGUAGGGGGUAUCGACCCCUUCUGUGCCGCAGUCAACACAAUAAGCAUUCCGCCUGGGGAGUACGGCCGCAAGGUUGAAACUCAAAGGAAUUGACGGGG